GCGGAGGCGGAGGAGGCGGUGGAGGUCAACAAGACACUUUAAUUAUUGACCAAUCAGGUAGAGGUAACAGAUGGGGAGGAGGACGACAGUGGGGCAACGGUAGACAAUUUGGAGACGAUCACAGAUUUGGAGACGAUCGAAGAUUCGGAGGCGGUAGAAUAUUUGGAGGCAGUCGACGAAAGUUUGGAGGUCGACGAGGCGGAGAUCGCCAUAAAUGGUAGACAAAAGUUUUGAUCCCACCAUCAGUGUUGUUAUGAUCACAUUCCUACCAACACAGUUUUCUGAUGACAAUCAUCCACUGUACAUAGACCACAUUAGUGACAGAGACAGCGGACGAGUUUUUAGAUAUUGCUUGAAUAUAUUUUUUAUACUAUGUAUUUUUAAAUUAAAUUAAAGACUUUGAUUAAA